UCUUUUAUUAAAUUAAAUGAUGCAAACAAGGAUUUAACUAUAUAACUACAUAUAAGAAUAAAUUAUUGAAUUGACUGUUGGACAACCUAUAUGGUCCUUAAUUCUCUCUUAAAUUAAAUCAUUAUGUUUGGUUAAAACAAUCAAAUAUUUAAUCGUUAUACAGGUUAAUCAGAUCGGUUUUGAUGGUGUAAACGGUUUGAUUUUCACGGUGUCAAUUCGGUUUGAAACUAAUAGGUUAGACGGUUAAAACGGAUGCGACCCAUUUAACUAAUCGAUCUUAAACUUGAAACUAGAAUCAAAUCAUUUACUAAACGAUUUUACGAUUUCAGUGUAAAUGGCUCAGUUCAAUGGUGUAAAUGAUUUCGAUUUCAAAUUCACAUCCUUAAUUGAGACCCCACUCAUUGGUAGUGUAAUUGGGUGGGACAACGGUUUUGGAUAAGUGUGUAGGUAUUCAGGUCCAUUAAGGUGCUUUACAAGUUUGCGUAUGAGUGCAUGGCGUACACGUUCAUCAAUUGCUCUGGUGCCUCACAUGGGUGAUAGUGCUUACUAGUUGUUUUAAUCUUUUUCUUGAAAAUUUUGACUGUUGCCCGAAUUGCUGUAAUCACUAGUGGUAGCCAUUGAAAUGGAAUAAUUCAUCUUCACAAGCAUCCUCUUAGGUUUUAUUAUCUUAAAAGCACUCGACUAGAAUUCAUUUCAUUGGCUGCCAGCAGGGUUGCAGCUACUUGCCUGUAACCCCGGUAACACCCAAUUUUUGACCCCUUUUUCUCCAACCCAAUCCCAAAAUCUCAUUAUAAAACUACGCUACUCUUAACCAUUCUCUCAAGCUGUGACAUCCAUACAGGAAGUAGCCAUGGCAUACAGAUCUUUCUGGUGCUUUUUCUUCGUCAUGUUGGUCUUCCUUGCAUCAGAGGGAAAGGUGGUGCAUGUGGAUGGGAAGAUGUGUGACUCUCUGAGCCAUAAAUUCAGCGGUAUGUGCUUGAGUGACAAGAAUUGUGCUAAUGUUUGUCUGAGUGAGGGUUUCACCGGCGGUCACUGUAAAGGGUUCCGGGCUCGCUGCUUCUGUGAGAAGGAAUGUAGUUGAAUGCAUAGAUACUAGGGGAUGCGACCUUUGAGAAAUUAAAGCUGAUGAUCAGUUCUUGUAGCUAGCUCCCAUGCUAGUAUAUGUAACUACAAGCUAUGCUUGCAAAAGUUGUUCCUGUAAUAAAUGCUUCUUGGGUUCAUUUUA